rnacentral:rRNA from 1 species
GGUUAAGCGACUAAGCGUACACGGUGGAUGCCCUGGCAGUCAGAGGCGAUGAAGGACGUGCUAAUCUGCGAAAAGCGCCGGCGAGGUGAUAUGAACCUUUGACCCGGCGAUGUCCGAAUGGGGAAACCCAGUGCAAUUCGUUGCACUAUCGUUAACUGAAUACAUAGGUUAACGAGGCGAACCGGGGGAACUGAAACAUCUAAGUACCCCGAGGAAAAGAAAUCAACCGAGAUUCCCCCAGUAGCGGCGAGCGAACGGGGAGCAGCCCAGAGUCUGAAUCAGCUUGUGUGUUAGUGGAAGCGUCUGGAAAGUCGCACGGUACAGGGUGACAGUCCCGUACACGAAAGCACACAGGUUGUGAACUCGAAGAGUAGGGCGGGACACGUGGUAUCCUGUCUGAAUAUGGGGGGACCAUCCUCCAAGGCUAAAUACUCCUGACUGACCGAUAGUGAACCAGUACCGUGAGGGAAAGGCGAAAAGAACCCCGGCGAGGGGAGUGAAAUAGAACCUGAAACCGUGUACGUACAAGCAGUGGGAGCACCUUCGUGGUGUGACUGCGUACCUUUUGUAUAAUGGGUCAGCGACUUAUAUUCUGUAGCAAGGUUAACCGUAUAGGGGAGCCGAAGGGAAACCGAGUCUUAACUGGGCGUUAAGUUGCAGGGUAUAGACCCGAAACCCGGUGAUCUAGCCAUGGGCAGGUUGAAGGUUGGGUAACACUAACUGGAGGACCGAACCGACUAAUGUUGAAAAAUUAGCGGAUGACUUGUGGCUGGGGGUGAAAGGCCAAUCAAACCGGGAGAUAGCUGGUUCUCCCCGAAAGCUAUUUAGGUAGCGCCUCGUGAACUCAUCUUCGGGGGUAGAGCACUGUUUCGGCUAGGGGGCCAUCCCGGCUUACCAACCCGAUGCAAACUACGAAUACCGAAGAAUGUUAUCACGGGAGACACACGGCGGGUGCUAACGUCCGUCGUGAAGAGGGAAACAACCCAGACCGCCAGCUAAGGUCCCAAAGUCAUGGUUAAGUGGGAAACGAUGUGGGAAGGCACAGACAGCCAGGAUGUUGGCUUAGAAGCAGCCAUCAUUUAAAGAAAGCGUAAUAGCUCACUGGUCGAGUCGGCCUGCGCGGAAGAUGUAACGGGGCUAAACCAUGCACCGAAGCUGCGGCAGCGACACUCAGGUGUUGUUGGGUAGGGGAGCGUUCUGUAAGCCGUUGAAGGUGUGCUGUGAGGCAUGCUGGAGGUAUCAGAAGUGCGAAUGCUGACAUAAGUAACGAUAAAGCGGGUGAAAAGCCCGCUCGCCGGAAGACCAAGGGUUCCUGUCCAACGUUAAUCGGGGCAGGGUGAGUCGACCCCUAAGGCGAGGCCGAAAGGCGUAGUCGAUGGGAAACAGGUUAAUAUUCCUGUACUUGGUGUUACUGCGAAGGGGGGACGGAGAAGGCUAUGUUAGCCGGGCGACGGUUGUCCCGGUUUAAGCAUGUAGGCGGAGGUUCCAGGUAAAUCCGGUACCUUAUUAACGCUGAGGUGUGAUGACGAGGCACUACGGUGCUGAAGUAACAAAUGCCCUGCUUCCAGGAAAAGCCUCUAAGCAUCAGGUAACAUCAAAUCGUACCCCAAACCGACACAGGUGGUCAGGUAGAGAAUACCAAGGCGCUUGAGAGAACUCGGGUGAAGGAACUAGGCAAAAUGGUGCCGUAACUUCGGGAGAAGGCACGCUGAUAUGUAGGUGAAGCCCCUGCGGGUGGAGCUGAAAUCAGUCGAAGAUACCAGCUGGCUGCAACUGUUUAUUAAAAACACAGCACUGUGCAAACACGAAAGUGGACGUAUACGGUGUGACGCCUGCCCGGUGCCGGAAGGUUAAUUGAUGGGGUUAGCGGCAACGCGAAGCUCUUGAUCGAAGCCCCGGUAAACGGCGGCCGUAACUAUAACGGUCCUAAGGUAGCGAAAUUCCUUGUCGGGUAAGUUCCGACCUGCACGAAUGGCGUAAUGAUGGCCAGGCUGUCUCCACCCGAGACUCAGUGAAAUUGAACUCGCUGUGAAGAUGCAGUGUACCCGCGGCAAGACGGAAAGACCCCGUGAACCUUUACUAUAGCUUGACACUGAACACUGGUCCUUGAUGUGUAGGAUAGGUGGGAGGCUUUGAAGCGUGGACGCCAGUCUGCGUGGAGCC